ACAUGCCUACAACUUAGAGUUAAUGCAUUGGAUCCCAUUAGAACUCCAUAGUUAAGCAUGCUCAGGCUAGAGUAGUACUGGGAUGGGUGACCGCCUGGGAAGUCCUAGUAUUUUACAUGCC
rfam:Picea glauca, whole genome shotgun sequence.